UCUGCUCUAUGAAACAAGUUGCCAAUAAAAUUUCUGUUCCAUUAUUGUAAAGCUCUUCUCAUUUGGGUAAGCAAGCUCAACACCCAUUCAUUAACAUUGUGUCUCUAUGUUCGUAUGUCCACCUCAUUGAUCCCAUCACAGGAGGGCCCAAACAUCUCGAAUCUAAAUGGAGAAGCUUUGGAAAUUCUAUUAAUCUGAAUCUGCAAUAACAAUCGGUAGUGGUCAGACGCAAUCCUGGCCAAAUGGUAGAGCUUAGUUUCUGGGAACA
rnacentral:lncRNA from 1 species